rnacentral:ncRNA from 1 species
CCUGCUGUACGACCAGCAGUUGCCUACCUAGACGUGCGUGACUGGUAACGGUCGUGUGCGAAGCUCCAGGGACAACGUACUCGUCGAGAGACGUCACCAGUGGCGACAGUGGUGAUGACGCUGCAAGCCGCACUGCGGCGUGGAGA